rnacentral:rRNA from 1 species
CCUACGGGGGGCAGCAGUGAGGAAUAUUGGUCAAUGGACGGAAGUCUGAACCAGCCAUGCAGCGUGCAGGAUGACGGCUCUAUGAGUCGUAAACCGCUUUUGUACGGGGAUAACACUGUCCACGUGUGGUGAUCUGCAGGUACUGUGCGAAUAAGGGCCGGCUAAUUCCGUGCCAGCAGCCGCGGUAAUACGGAAGACCCGAGCGUUAUCCGGAUUUAUUGGGCUUAAAGGGAGCGUAGGCGGGUGUUAAAGUCAGCGGUAAAAUCUCGCGGCUAAACCGCGAACCGCAGUUGAAACUGGUCGUCUUGAGAGCAGAUGAGGCAGGCGGAAUUCGUGGUGUAGCGGUGAAAGGCUUAGAGAUCACGAGGAACACCGAUUGCGAAGGCAGCCUGCCGGGGUGUGUCUGACGCUGAGGCUCGAAGGUGCGGGUAUCAAACAGGAUUAGAUACCCCAGUAGUC